CCUACGGGGGGCUGCAGUGGGGAAUAUUGGACAAUGGGCGAAAGCCUGAUCCAGCCAUGCCGCGUGUGUGAAGAAGGCCUUCGGGUUGUAAAGCACUUUCAGUGGGGAAGAAAGCCUUGGGGCUAAUACCCUCGAGGAAGGACAUCACCCACAGAAGAAGCACCGGCUAACUCCGUGCCAGCAGCCGCGGUAAUACGGAGGGUGCGAGCGUUAAUCGGAAUUACUGGGCGUAAAGCGCGCGUAGGCGGUCUGAUAAGCCGGUUGUGAAAGCCCCGGGCUCAACCUGGGAACGGCAUCCGGAACUGUCAGGCUAGAGUGCAGGAGAGGAAGGUAGAAUCCCCGGUGUAGCGGUGAAAUGCGUAGAGAUCGGGAGGAAUACCAGUGGCGAAGGCGGCCUUCUGGACUGACACUGACGCUGAGGUGCGAAAGCGUGGGUAGCAAACAGGAUUAGAUACCCCGGUAGUC
rnacentral:rRNA from 1 species